GUGAAUGAGGGUAUAGAGGGCAAUUUGGGAUACAGCCAUUGACAAGACAGGAAAAGUAACGAAAAGUGUGACACAACAGACAGAAUCAGAUUACAAAAUAAAAGACAUGACGACAAUGAACAAGACAAGCCCAAACCCUUUGUUAUACCAUGUAAAUAUUUUCUAAAUAUAUAAUAAAUCUUUUUAGAAUAGAUAUACACAGUAUAAUGUUCACAAAUAAUUUUAUUUUGGAUGCAAUAGUUAAAAUGUAUACACACCUUAAACAACUAAUUCUCUUUUCAUUUAUCUGUGGGCCACUGAAGGUGGAUGGUUUUGAUUUCAUCGCUGGGCUUCUGCUGACAGGUACAAAAAAGAAGAAAUUUAAAUACCUGCAUGUACACGGGCAUACAGCCAAUGAAGCGCCUAGUGAAAUGGAAGAAUCUCAUUCCGAACUCACUAUAGAACUUUUAACUGAGUCCAGGCUUGCAUUUAUCAAGAAUCAUUCUAAUAAUAUGUAUAAUUAUUGUGAUUUUUCUAUUGAUGUACCAUCUGAAUUUCCUUUUUUCUGUACAGAUAAUACAUUGGAACAACUGUAUCAAUUAAUUUACUAAUUAUUUUAGUCUAUAUUCUGUCUGAAAUACAUUUCUGGACUCUUUAGUGCAUCUCAUCAAGGACCAUUCACUUCGAAUGCACUUAUUGUGUCAUGCCCUUUGAUAUCUAAUGUAAUUUUUUCUCUUUCAACCUAAUAUUUCUGUGUAUGUAUUAGAGAACGAUGUAUGCAAUGCAAUUCACUUUGCAUUGAGAAUUUAAAAUGAAUAAAUCAGUAUCUUCUA